rnacentral:misc_RNA from 1 species
CGAAAUGCGAUAAGUAAUGUGAAUUGCAGAACUCAGUGAAUCAUCGAAUCUUUGAACGCACCUUGCGCUCCUUGGUAUUCCUUGGAGCAUGCCUGUUUGAGUAUCAUGAAAUCUUCAAAGUAAAUCUUUUGUUAACUCAAUUGGUUUCUACUUUGGUAUUGGAGGUCUUUGCAGCUUCACACCUGCUCCUCUUUGUUCAUUAGCUGGAUCUCAGUGUUAUGCUUGGUUCCACUCGGCGUGAUAAGUUAUCUAUCGCUGAGGACACUGUAAAAGGUGGCCAAGGUAAAUGCAGAUGAACCGCUUCUAAUAGUCCAUUGACUUGGACAAUACUUUUAUGAUCUGAUCUCAAAUCAGGUAGGACUACCCGCUGAACUUAAGC